rnacentral:lncRNA from 1 species
UUACACAUGCAGCAGAGAAAAGAAAAGGAGGAGGAAUUGAAAUAUCACUUCAAAUUGGAGUAAAAAACGGCGGGCAUGGCUUAUUGUUAAUUAUAUAUAUACAUAAGUGGGCUGAUUUUAGAGGGAGAUUCAAAAGAAAAAGUAGAAGAAAGGGUCGGCUGCUGCUGUUGGAGAAACACAGAAACAUGGAGAGAAAAAAAGCAGCCAACUGGGUAAACAUAUACACACACGCAGGGAGCAGUCCAGAAAUUGAAAAAAGAGACAAAAAGAGUUGACGGCUGUAAUUACACGUAUAUAUUACACAUGUACAAUGGAGGCAGAAGACACACAAAAGCCAAUAAAAAUUGGAAAAUAAAUUCACAUUCCGUCAAUUUUUGGUGAUCUCUUUCCUCUUUUAUGUAUUUAAUUCCAACAGUAGGCUAGGCUAAAUUCCUCUCAUGUAUUGGAUGAAGAUGAAAUUCGUUAUUAUUUAUUUUUAUUUCAAGACACGUAGUUUAGAUAAAUUCUUGUAAUUGUUGAUUAAUCUAGCAUGCUUAAUUUUAUUAUUUA